rnacentral:rRNA from 1 species
AACGAACGCUGGCGGCAGGCUUAACACAUGCAAGUCGAGCGAUGAAGUUCUUCGGAACGGAUUAGCGGCGGACGGGUGAGUAACACGUGGGUAACCUGCCUUGUAGAGGGGGAUAGCCUUCCGAAAGGAAGAUUAAUACCGCAUAACAUCUUUUUAUCGCAUGGUAGAAAGAUCAAAGGAGUAAUCCGCUACAAGAUGGACCCGCGGCGCAUUAGCUAGUUGGUGAGGUAACGGCUCACCAAGGCGACGAUGCGUAGCCGACCUGAGAGGGUGAUCGGCCACAUUGGAACUGAGACACGGUCCAGACUCCUACGGGAGGCAGCAGUGGGGAAUAUUGCGCAAUGGGGGAAACCCUGACGCAGCAACGCCGCGUGAAUGAAGAAGGCCUUAGGGUUGUAAAGUUCUGUUUACGGGGACGAUAAUGACGGUACCCGAGGAGGAAGCCACGGCUAACUACGUGCCAGCAGCCGCCGUAA